rnacentral:rRNA from 1 species
GACAGAGGGUGCAAACGUUACUCGGAAUUAUUGGGCGUAAAGGGCGCGUAGGCGAUUUGAAAAGUCUUGUGUGAAAGCCCCGAGCUUAACUCGGGAAGUGCACAAGAAACUGUUGAAUUUGAGUUCCGGAGAGGAAGGCAGAAUUCCCGGUGUAGCGGUGAAAUGCGUAGAUAUCGGGAGGAAUACCAGUGGCGAAGGCGGCCUUCUGGACGGAUACUGACGCUGAGGCGCGAAAGCCAGGGGAGCAAACGGG